GACUUCCUCCCCACAGUGAGCUAAAAGGACACUUUUGUCAGAGUGGGGAAAUAAAAGGGCUUUAUGGGAAGGAAGAUAAGAACAGAUGAGUCAGAGGUUUCUGCUUAAUGGUGGUACAGCCAAGCAGACAGGCAAGUGGCCAUACUGCUGCUGCCUCAUGUAGGAUCCGGCAGGCUGGUGGGUUAUCAGUCCUCACGUGGGACCCUCCCACCAUGGCAGCUGAGCACAUCCAAGCUGGGGGAUCCUGAAGAGACCUUCACCUGGGUGCCACGUGGAAGAUUGGCCAGCACCAUUUUGACUCCUGUGGAUGGGUGAGUGUUUUGCCCACCCCCACCCCAAUAACAUCAGCACCCAAACUGCACCUGGUCACCUGUCUACAUUCAGAUUUGGAUGAAAGCCACACCAUGGAGGCAGCCAGAGGCCCAUGGGAGAUGUCUGGAUUCGCAGAGCAAUAGCUCCAUGUGAUGCAAACCUUGACUAAUGGGAACAGGAAAAGGGAGGAAACCAGGAAGAUAAAUCUCCCUCCCUUCUCAUUGCUCCUUGCAACCCUUCCCACUUGAAGCAUGACCACAUUUAAUGAACAACCUGCUGUGUCUCUUGGAAGCUUGCUGCAAGGCAGCAAUCAGCACAAUAACAUUGUACUGUAUCUUCCUCUGCUUCACUUCUCUUC
rnacentral:lncRNA from 1 species